rnacentral:rRNA from 1 species
AUUGAACGCUGGCGGCAGGCCUAACACAUGCAAGUCGCACGACUGGCGGACGGGUGAGCAACGUCUGGGAAACUGCCCGAUGAAUGGGGAUCACUACUGGAAACGGUAGCUAAUACCGCAUACCAUCGGAUGUGCCCAGAUGGGAUUAGCUUGUAGGUGAGGUAACGGCGCACCUAGGCGACGAUCCCUAGCUGGUCUGAGAGGAUGACCAGCCAAACUGGAACUGAGACACGGUCCAGACUCCUACGGGAGGCAGAAGUGGGGAAUAUUGCACAAUGGGCGAAAGCCUGAUGCAGCCAUGACGCGUGUAUGAAGAAGGCCGUCGGGUUGUAAAGUACUUUAAGCGGGGAGGCGGGACCCGCAGAAGAAGCACCGGCUAACUCCGUGCCAGCAGCCGCGGUAAUUC